UAUAAUUUCUGCUGUUGAUUGACAUUUCACUUGUUUCCAGUUUUGGCUCUUAUAAGUAAAUGCUGUCUUUUGGUGAACAUAUAUAUGCGUUUCUGGUGGAGUUAAGUGCAACUGCUGGGACAUAGGGUAUUAAUCUUCUGUUUUAAUACAUAAUACCAUGUGGUUUUCCAAAGUGCUUGUUCUAGUGUACAGUCCCAUCAUCAGGAAUUCCUCUACAAUACUUCAUAAUGUUUUUUUUUUUAAUUAUUCUGAAGAGUGGGUAAUGGUAUCUUUUUGUGGUGAUAAUUUACAAUUCCCUAAUUCCUAAUAAGGUGGAGCAACUUUUCGUGUUUAUUUAACCAUUUGGAUAUCAACUUUUGUGAAAUCUAAGUUAAAUCUUUUGCCCUAUUUAACUGUUGGGUUGCAUAUCUUUUUCCUUCUUGUUUUUUAGGAGUUCUUUAUAAAUUCUGGAUACAAUUGUGAUUAUAUGUAUAAGAAAUAUCUUUUCCUACUUGUGAUCAUCCCUUCCACACAUAAUGGUGACUUUGAUGAACAGAAGUUCUUAGUUUUAAUUAAUUUUAAUUUUAUUGUAGUUUAAGCUCUCAGUCUUACACAUUACAGUUGAUAUUUUUUGUGUACCGUUCAAGAAAUACUUUCUUAUCCACGGUCAUAAAAAUGUUCUCCUGGGUGCCCCUGGGUGGCUCAGUCAGCUAAGUGUCAGACUUCAGCUCAGGUCAUGAUCUCAUGGUUCAUGAGUUCGAGGCCUGUGUGGGGCUCUCUGCUGUCAGUGCAGAGCUCGCUUCAGAUCCUCAGUCUGCCUCUCUGCCUCUCUCCUCUUUCUCUCAAAACUAAAUAAACAUUAAAAAAAAAAAAGGUUUAAAAAAUUAUUCUCCUGUAUUAUUGUCUAGAAUAUAGAAAUUUAUUGUUUUGCCUUUCACAAUUAUAGCACUAAUUCUAACUGGAAUUGAUUUUUGUUAUUGGUGUGAGGUCAAGGUUUUAUUUCUCAUAUAGAUAUUCACUUGUCCCAGCACCCUUUAUUAACUGUUCCCCAAUAUUUUUUCCCCAGUAUUCUUCAGUGACACUUUAUUCAUAAGUCAAGUAGGCAUGUAUGCAUGAAUCAAUUUCUGGGCUCUCUUGCCUGUUCUCAUCUCUAAAAGUGGUAAUUCAUAUGGCUCAACAUAAAAUGUAGAAAUACAAUUGUUUUUUAUAUUUUGACUUUUACUCUGCAAACUAGCUAAAUUGCUUAUUGAUGCUAUUAACUUAUCUCUAGGUGCUCUGAACUAGGUCCAUAAACUGUCACAAUCUGAGGUUAAUAAUAACAUUUAUUUCUAACUUUCCAAUCCUUUUAGUUUUAAAUUCUUUUUUUUUUUGUUUCCUUGCAUUACUUUACUGGCUACAGCCAGCAUGAUAUUGAAUAUAAGUGGUAUUUAGUAGGCAUCUUUGACCAAUAACUCAUCUCAGAUAAACCUUCGGCAUUUCACUGUUAAGAAUGUUGUUUACUAUAGUUUUUCUCCACCCCCACCCCCAGAUAUCCUUUAUCAUAUGUGUCAGUUGGGGUUCUUAGCAAGAUCCUAAGACAGAGUUAGGAGUGCAAGAGAUUUAUUGAGGGCUAAUGCCUUUGAAACAUAAGGAGAAGGAAACAUGAUUGGGCAGGGAGAACCUCAGACAGGGUUGCAAUAUCUUGGCAAAUCACUGGGGAAUUGUGGAGUAACGGCUGCUUUUUGGAAGCAUAUCCAGAGAUAGCCAGGCCCUACUAUACCUGCUGGGCCUAUUCAUUGGCUGGGAGUUGCUCAAAAAGAACUUGGCCUUACCUUAGUCACUACAGUCAGGUACUGCAGUCACAGGCUGAUAGCUAGCAGCAUUUUUCAUAGCUUGGAUGGCAAGUUCUUCCUUUUACGGAGAUCUGAGCAGUAUACAGUAAAAAAACUGACUAUCAAAGGCAAAGAGAUACAUUCUAAAACCAACCAGAGAAAAAAAGAAGACCUUCAAAGAAGCUAGAAUUAGCCUGACAGCUGAAUUAUAAACUGAAACAAUUGGAGGCAAAAAAAAAAAAAAAAAAAAAAAAAAAAAAAUUAAAAAAAUUGAACUAGAAUUCUAUACCCAGUGAAAAUGUUCUUCGUGUGCAAAGAAAAACACAGGCAUUUUCAAACAGACAAGAACAUAGAGAAUUUGUCACCAGAAGAUUUGCACCAAAGGAAAUAAUAGAGGAUAUUCUUCAGCUUGAAGGUAAAUUACUUCAGAAGCUUAGAAAUGCAAAGGAUAAAGAGCAUUAAAAAUAAAAAUAUGUGGAUAACUAAAUGCAUAUAUAUUGUGUAUAGCAAUGAUAAUAAUAGUAUCCUGAUGAAUACAGCAUGACAGCAUUCUGCUACUACUAAUACUAGAUCAUCAGAAACUUGGCAGCUUUUACCUGGGUCUCUUGGACCUCUAGAAAUUGGGACAUUUCUUUUGGGACCCAGUUGCCAUGAUGUGAAAAUCCUAAGCCACAUGGGGAGCCCCCAUAUAGUCCUACAGUCAGUGGUCCCAGUUGAGUGCCCACUUACCAGCCAUCAUCCCUUUUCUGCCACUGUGGAUGAGCAGCACAUUUAAACAUUCAGAUGAAUCAGCUACAACUUGCAUCUUAUGGCAGCCAUUUGAGUAACAUCAAGUGAGAUCUAACCAACUGAGUCUAGUCAGUCCAGAAGAAUGUGAAGGAUAAUAAUAAAAUGCUGUUUUAAGCUGUUAAACUUUGGAGUGUUUUACUAUGCACCAUUAGAUAGCCAGAACAUCUAAUAUCAUGUAAUACCUGGUUGGUCUGUAUCCCUUUUCUUCUACCAUUUCAAAAAUUCUUUUUCAUACUUUAGGUAUUUAAAUCAAGAUCUAAACAAGGUCUGUAUAUUGCGUUUGGUUGAUAUGUCUCGUAAGUCUCUUUUAAGCCAUCUCCCUAUGCCAAUUUUUUGUUGUUGUUGAAGAUAUUGAAUCAUUUGUCUAUAGGACUUCCUACAACCAGGCUGAGCUAAUAUCAUCUUCUUGGUAUAAUUUAACAUACCUCUGUCUUACGGAUUUUCUAUAAACUUUUGCUAAAUAUAGAGUCUUGAUCAGGUUUAGAUUAAAUUUUUUUCCCUUGGCAAGAAUAUUUGAAGUAGUUUUUGUGUAAUGAAGAAUAUGAAUGGUCUCUGUCUGCGCCCCAGUAGGGAGACUUUAAAUCUUGGGAUAUCCUUAGAAGUAAGAGUGUCUUUGUUAUUCAUGAGCCCUUGGAUCACACCUGAGUUAAUGCCUAACACGAUGACUGAAGAUGGGGGUUGGUCACUAGAAAAACUAAUUAUGUGGUUAGAGGGUUUGGACUUUGAGUCAUCCCAUCUGCCUCCAAGAACGAGAGGGGGCUAGAAAUUGAGUUCAGUCACAUAGGUGGCCAGUGAUUUAAUAAACCAUAUCUUUGUAAUGAAACUCCAAUAAAAACUCUGGACACUGAAGCUGUAUAGAGCUUCCUUGUUAGUAAGCACAUCUGUGUGCCAGGAAAGUGACAUACCCUGAUUGCAUAGAGAGAAGGCACAGAAUUUCUGUGUUUGGGGCCCUCCAAGACUUCACCCUAUAUGCUUCUUUAGAAGAAAACUAGUUUGAGUAUAGUUCUGAGUUCUAAGCUUGAUGGGGAGGAAUCAUGGAAACCUCCCAGAUCUGUAGUCAGUUGGUUAGAAGUACACAUGGCCUCAACUCCCUAGCUUGUGGUUGGUGUAUGAAGUAAAGACUGUCUUGUUAGGGACUGUAUCCUUUAGCCUGUAGAUUCUAAAGCUAACUCAAAGUGAUUAGCGUCAGGAUUCUAUUACAGUCCACCAGUGAUACUGUAGUUUUUGUUUUUCAUCAGAAGACAUGUCAUGUCAGGUUGGUUGUUUUAGAUUUUUAGGUCACAGAUUUUCAUAUGUAGGCAUUUAAUGGUUCUGGAAAUAAAGUGUUAUAACAUUACUUCUGUUGCUCUUCUAAGCUGGAAGUUGGCACACUUUAUGUAAAGGGCCAUGUAUUAAAUACUUUAGGGUUUGUGUGUGAAAUGGUCUGUGUCCCAAGUACUCAAGUUCUGUCAUUGUACUAUGAGAGCAACCAUAGACUGUAUACAAGGAAUGGGAAUAAAACUUACAUUUACCAAAACUGGAGCUAGACAGAGGACUCUGGGAAGAUGAUAGAGUAUGAAGUAGCAGGAUUCCCUCUCCCCAUGUAGACAACAGUGGCACUGGUAGAAUAUGUCUAAUGUCUUUUGAAGGCUUGCAACUUUCAGAGGAAGGCUUGGGGGUAAAUUGAAGUAAAUUUCAGUCCAUUUUAGCUCUUAGCACAGAAGCAACUACCUACUCCCACCCUCCAGCCCUGUGGCAGGCAGCUCUGCACACAUUCAUUGAAUAGCUUGUACACAGAGUGCAGGAGCCAUGGUGGGCAAAAAAGGAACUUGGAGAUUCGUGCCCUGAUCAUUACCCCUGAUCUCAAAGGUGUAGAUAAAGGAGGUAGCCAUUGUUGUUGCAACUCCAUCCAUUAUUAAAGUUCUCUGCCUGAAGUAACCCAGAAGACUUAAAGGGCUAACAACCUUUUCCCUCCAUUUAUUUUUCUCUUUUUCCCCUUUUGGGAGCCAGACAUUAAUGAGUAGGACAUUCAAAGCAAUUGCAUGUAUGGGGAAAUGAUAAAAUUACCACAAAUGUUCAGGGAAAGACCUUAAAUUUUGGCCUAGAUAGAGCCUACUAUAAUUAAAAAAUCAAAAACAAUACAAACAAAACAAAAAC